UGGUGCCAGCAGCCGCAGUAAUUCCAGCUCCAAUAGCGUAUAUUAAAGUUGUUGCAGUUAAAAAGCUCGUAGUUGAAUUUCGGGGUUAGUAAGUUGGUCAUGCCUUCGGUAUGAACUGGCUUUACUGAUUCCUCCUUCUUGAUGAACUGUAAUGUCAUUAAUUUGGUGUUGCAGGGAAUCAGGACUGUUACUUUGAAAAAAUUAGAGUGUUUAAAGCAGGCAUAAGCUUGAAUACAUUAGCAUGGAAUAAUGAAAUAGGACGUUUGAUCCUAUUUUGUUGGUUUCUAGGAUUGACGUAAUGAUUAAUAGGGAUAGUUGGGGGCAUUAGUAUUCAAUUGUCAGAGGUGAAAUUCUUGGAUUUAUUGAAGACUAACUACUGCGAAAGCAUUUGCCAAGGAUGUUUUCAUUAAUCAAGAACGAAAGUUAGGGGAUCGAAGACGAUCAGAUACCGUCGUAGUCUUAACCAUAAACUAUGCCGACUAGGGA
rnacentral:rRNA from 1 species